rnacentral:rRNA from 1 species
UACGAAGGGGACUAGCGUCGUUCGGAAUCACUGGGCGUAAAGCGCACGUAGGCGGAUUCGUAAGUUAGGGGUGAAAUCCCGGGGCUCAACCUCGGAACUGCCUUUGAUACUGCGGGUCUCGAGUCCGAUAGAGGUGGGUGGAAUUCCUAGUGUAGAGGUGAAAUUCGUAGAUAUUAGGAAGAACACCGGUGGCGAAGGCGGCCCACUGGAUCGGCACUGACGCUGAGGUGCGAAAGCGUGGGGAGCAAACAGG